UAAAGCUGGAGUUACUAGUAAUCGCAGAUCAGAAUGCUGCGGUGAAUGCGUUCCCGGGUCUUGUACACACCGCCCGUCACACCACGGAAGUUGGGGCGCCCGAAGCCACUUAUCUAACCCUUUUGGGAAGCGAGUGUCGAAGGUGAAAUCAAUAACUAGGGGUGAAGUCGUAACAAGGUAAC
rnacentral:rRNA from 1 species